rnacentral:misc_RNA from 1 species
CUGUUCGAGCGUCAUUACAACCCCCUCAAGCUCUGCUUGGUAUUGGACAUCACCUACUGGUGUGUCUUUAAAUCAGUGGCGGUACCGUAUGGUUCCAGCGUAGUACAUCUCUCGCUGUGGAUAUCUAUAUAGGGACGUGCCAGCAACCCUAAUCUUCAAAGGUUGACCUCGGAUCAGGUAGGGAUACCCGCUGAACUUAA